rnacentral:rRNA from 1 species
AGGACCCGUCUUGAAACACGGACCAAGGAGUCUAACAUGUGCGCGAGUCAUUGGGACUUGUAAAGCCUAAAAGCGCAAUGAAAGUAAAGGUCGACCUUAGCGUCGACCGAGGGAGGAUGGCUCGCGUCACGAUGCGAGCCCGCACUCCCGGGGCGUCUCGUGCUCAUUACGAGCAGAGGCGCACCCAGAGCGUACACGUUGGGACCCGAAAGAUGGUGAACUAUGCCUGGUCAGGACGAAGUCAGGGGAAACCCUGAUGGAGGUCCGUAGCGAUUCUGACGUGCAAAUCGAUCGUCGGAACUGGGUAUAGGGGCGAAAGACUAAUCGAACCAUCUAGUAGCUGGUUCCCUCCGAAGUUUCCCUCAGGAUAGCUGGCACUCGCUUGAGCGAGUCUCAUCUGGUAAAGCGAAUGAUUAGAGGCCUUGGGGCCGAAACGACCUCAACCUAUUCUCAAACUUUAAAUGGGUGAGAUCUCUGGCUUGCUUGAACGUUGAAGCCACGAGAUGCAAAUUUUUGCAAUGGAUCAGAGUGCCAAGUGGGCCAAUUUUGGUAAGCAGAACUGGCGCUGUGGG